rnacentral:rRNA from 1 species
AUGCAGGUUGUCGGAGAGGUCGAGGAAGACGAGCGACGAGGCGUUGCCGAGCUCCGGCGGUAUCUUGCCCUCGAGACUGUUCUUGUAAAGGAAAAGCGAGGUGAGCGCCGGGAGCCUCCCGAUCUCCGGCGGGAUCGGGCCCUCGAGGUUGCCGAUGGCGAGGUCGAGGUCCUGGAGGUUGGCGAGGUUGCCGAGCUCCGGCGGGAUGGGCCCCUCGAGCUCAUUGUACCCGAUGAUGAGGCUCUCGAGCGACUCGAGCUCCCCGAGCUCCGGCGGGAUCUUGCCGCCGAUGUUGUUGCCGGAGAGGCCCAGGAACCUGAGCUUGGUGAGGCUCCGGUACGCCGCGGGGAUGCCGCCGCUGAAGAAGUCCCCGCGCAUGUCGAUGCUCUCCAGCGACGUGGCGUUCGCGAGGUCCGCCGGGAGGGCGCCGACGAAGUUGUUGCCGGAGCCGUUGACGGCGACGAGGCCCGCGCACGAGCCGAGGCCCGCGGGGAAGGCGCCCUCGAAGGAGUUCUGGCUGACGUCGAACACCUGCAGGCUCGACAGCGGCGCGAGCGACCUGGGCAGCGCGGCGGCGAAGGCGUUGGAGGAGAGGUUGAGCACCGCCAGCGCCGGCAGCCGGAGCAGGUCCGCGGAGACCUUGCCGCUCAGGUUCCUCCCGGCGAGGUCGAGCCCGUCGACGAGGCCGGCGGCGUUGCACCGGACGCCCGUCCACUUGCAAUGCGGCGAGCCGGCAGCCUUCCAGUCGCCAAGCACACCCAACGGGUCCACGAAGCCCGCCUUGAGCGCCAGCAGCGCCCCCCGCUCACCAUCACCGCCAGCCGCGCCGACAUUGCCGACGCUGGACAAGACGACAGCCAGUGCCGCCACCACCAGAACCGCCAGUCUCGCCGCCGCCAUUGUCAGCACAGAAUCCACCACAGGAAAAACAACUUUCCCUUAAAGAAACCACUUCCUAGCUUAGCUCAGCCCAGCUCUCUGCUGCUUCUAGUGCUCUGCCAUUGUCAGUGCAGUGUCUCCUCUGCCCUGCUCUGCUCUGCUCCUCUUAGUUUACUCCACCAGCUUGCAUCCGCAGGAGGAAGAAGAUCGAAGAAGAAGAGGAGCAGCAGAGUCUGCAGCUAG